rnacentral:rRNA from 1 species
AUUGAACGCUGGCGGCAGGCCUAACACAUGCAAGUCGAGCGAGCGGCGGACGGGUGAGUAAUGUCUGGGAAACUGCCUGAUGGAGGGGGAUAACUACUGGAAACGGUAGCUAAUACCGCAUACCAUCAGAUGUGCCCAGAUGGGAGUAGCUAGUAGGUGGGGUAACGAGUCACCGAGGCGACGACCCCUAGCUGGGCUGAGAGGAUGACCAGCCACACUGGAACUGGGACACGGGCCAGACUCCUACGGGAGGCAGCAGUGGGGAAUAUUGCAGAAUGGGCGCAAGCCUGAUGCAGCCAUGCCGCGUGUGUGAAGAAGGCCUUCGGGUUGUAAAGCACUUUCAGCGGGGAGGCGUUACCCGCAGAAGAAGCACCGGCUAACUCCGUGCCAGCAGCCGCGGUAAUAC